rnacentral:lncRNA from 1 species
CGUCGGCCGGAAGAGGGACGGAUCCAUCAAGGAAUCCGUCCUUGUCUUUUGUAACGAGAGCCCGGCGAAAGUCCCUUGCCCAUGUCGAGUAAUGGUCUGGUCCAGCAAGUUGAAGCGAGAUCAACUUCAAUUCCGGGCCGUCAGCUGGUGAAGUAUAAAGCGGGUCGCCUGGUUCUGGACGACCGGCGAUGUUCGGAAAAGAGAGCGGAACGAACCCAGGUGGAAA